GCUCACAGACUACAUAUCCCAGAGAGCGCUGCGGCGCGGCCGGAAGAAGAGCGUGCGAGACCAGUGCGCAGGCGCGCGAGCCGACUCGGAUUAUAUAAGAGAAGUCCCGUGGUCUUUUCGUUCUUUCACUUCUGCGGCGUCUUGCUGUUGUUUUAGGUCCUGCGUUUCACAGGAGGUGACUUUUCCCCGGCAUCCACGUUAUGUUUAGGGCUAGCGCGACAAAGCGGUGCAGAAUGGUUGUUGGAGGCUCUGAUCAUAUCGGGACCUCCAGAGGAAUCCCGUUUAAUUACCUGCAACCUUCGAUCUCCUAAGCUCCGUUUUGCUGCUGGCAGAAAUAAGACUGAGUGGAUCAGUCUGACCAAGAGCGAAGAAAGGAUGGUGAUUACACGAUGUCUCCUUCAGGUCAGGAGCCCUGCUUGCCAGUGUACAUUCAGUCUGAUCUUUGGCUUGGUUCAUUGUCCUGCAACAGGUGCUUCUCAGCUGUGUAGCUGGAGUAUCACAGGCCUUCUUGGAAGAAAUCAGCUUUUUCUGCUGAGACUGAUUAGAGUUCUCUGAAGAUUUCGAGGACUAAUUCUGUAUCUUAAAAAUAAAUCCUUUUAAAUAAUUGGC